rnacentral:rRNA from 1 species
GACGAACGCUGGCGGCGUGCUUAACACAUGCAAGUCGAGCGGUAAGGCCUUUCGGGGUACACGAGCGGCGAACGGGUGAGUAACACGUGGGGGAUCUGCCCUGCACUCUGGGAUAAGCCUGGGAAACUGGGUCUAAUACUGGAUAUGACCUCAGCAUGCAUGUGCUGGGGUGGAAAGCUUUUGUGGUGCAGGAUGGGCCCGCGGCCUAUCAGCUUGUUGGUGGGGUAAUGGCCUACCAAGGCGACGACGGGUAGCCGACCUGAGAGGGUGACCGGCCACACUGGGACUGAGAAACGGCCCAGACUCCUACGGGAGGCAGCAGUGGGGAAUAUUGCACAAUGGGCGGAAGCCUGAUGCAGCGACGCCGCGUGAGGGAUGAAGGCCUUCGGGUUGUAAACCUCUUUCAGCAGGGACGAAGCGUGAGUGACGGUACCUGCAGAAGAAGCACCGGCUAACUACGUGCCAGCCGCCGCAGUAA